rnacentral:rRNA from 1 species
UUGUUUGAUCCUGGCUCAGAGCGAACGCUGGCGGCAGGCUUAACACAUGCAAGUCGAGCGGGCGUAGCAAUACGUCAGCGGCAGACGGGUGAGUAACGCGUGGGAACGUACCUUUUGGUUCGGAACAACACAGGGAAACUUGUGCUAAUACCGGAUAAGCCCUUACGGGGAAAGAUUUAUCGCCGAAAGAUCGGCCCGCGUCUGAUUAGCUAGUUGGUGAGGUAACGGCUCACCAAGGCGACGAUCCGUAGCUGGUCUGAGAGGACGACCAGCCACACUGGGACUGAGACACGGCCCAAACUCCUACGGGAGGCAGCAGUGGGGAAUAUUGGACAAUGGGCGCAAGCCUGAUCCAGCCAUGCCGCGUGAGUGAUGAAGGCCCUAGGGUUGUAAAGCUCUUUUGUGCGGGAAGAUAAUGACGGUACCGCAAGAAUAAGCCCCGGCUAACUUCGUGCCAGCAGCCGCGGUAAUA